rnacentral:sRNA from 1 species
UCGUUUUCUAUCUGCCCGACAAUCGAAUU